CAUUAUUUUCACUCUAUAAUGGCCCUUGCCUUUUGUUGGUCCGGCAUUGUGUCCUACAAACUAAACGGACAUGUAUAAAAGGAUUGGACAGAACUUCUCCUUUCAUGUGGAAAUGAAUCCCUUCCAGGGGACAAAACAGCUUUCACCCUGGGUUCUACAGUGCGGGUUUCAGGCCGGCGCCUUUUCUCCUCCGCGUCGGAGGGAAAGCGGGACGGAACCGGGGAGCGAGGAGAACACCGAUAACGCGCGUCGACGUCGGGCGACGGCCAGAGUUUCCGAAGCGCACGUGCUUCUCGGGAACGGGAGGCGUUCACACCUGCACACGGUGAAGGAGGACGAAGAUUGAUGCCUCUCUGCCGGGCUUUAAAAGCUCAGAGGACACUUUGAAGUGGGGAGGGAGGGCGCUCCCUACUGAGGCCGCUCGCUCAACAUUUCUAUUGAUUUCAGUGGGUCGAGCAGGAGACCAGCAGCGAGGAGACCGCGUCCAGAUGAAUGAACAACUUCAAAGGGAACAGACCUGUGGCCAGAGGAAGCAGGCGACGAGGGAGCCCGCGACCGGUGAUCGGGUGUGUUAUGAUAACACUCGCAAACAUGCAGAGCACUAACAAGCUCCCUGAGGUGGCCUGAUAUUGUUGACGCGGAGCACAGAGCAAUAUCUUUCAAGGAAUCUCUUUGGGACUCGCCCGGCGCCCUGUGGGUUCCUGCUAUAUUAUGGCUGCUGCGUCUUCAAACUCCAAACUGCCGUAACAGCACCGCUAAUGAUGCGAGCGCCGCGCGUGGUUCGGAGCGGACGCUGACGGAUUUCGGAUCCGAUGACUGAACGUCGACGUCUGUGCUAUUAGUCGUUGGAACAGGACGUUGAAUUCAGUUGUUGCAGAAGAAAACGCGGAGCGUCUUUUAUUCCACUUUGCAAAUAAGCCUUUUGCGCAUAAUUACUGUUCCCCUGCGAGUUAUUAGACGUGUUUAACGUUAUUACAACUGGCAAUGAGAAGAUGAAAGACUCAAGGACUGAAGUCUGCCUUUUAAAGCUGAUAUCAACGCUCUACGACCACUCUGCUUUUAGAAGCGAGCCUCCGUCUGACCUCGGCGCCGAUCAAAGGGCUGCACCGCUGAACCUCGGAGUGGGAUGGAUGGCUUACAACAGCCCUACAGCGCUGGGCCAAUGCGGGAGCAUUGAUGACGGCGCGUGGAACUAUCGACAUGAUAACAUUUCAGUCUGCCGGGCCACAGUGGCACUGAGCUGCAAUAAAUUGAGACGAAUGAUCAGUCGAUGACAAUUUCCAUAAUCGUUAUACCUUCCGUAAUUCAUCAAGUGACAGGCGAACAGGAGGCCAUUACAGUUCAGCGCUGGCACCGUUUCCGAAGCAGAGGGAGCGGAGAGAGUCCUCUGCUUCCUGGCUCUGUGGAACAUAUCAAGAUUCAUCAUCACCGCAUCUCCGUCUGCUUGGCUUUUUUCCCCCCCUUCACUCAUUAACGACAUUCUUUCUCUUUGACAAUUAUUCGUUAUUAUUGGCAAGCAACAGCCGUAUGACUGAAUGUUGUGAUUCAAUUACAGAUGCAGUCAUUCAAAAUUAA